ACAAAACAAUGCAUGGUUAGAAACCACUAUUGAAAUAACUGCCUAAGGGCGACCUGGUGAAGGAGGCUCUCAUUUAAUGAAGUAUGGGGAGGUAGAUAUACACAGCCUUAACCUCACAAGUUACAAGUAAAGAGCCUAUUUCCAGAAUUUGAACUCAUGACCUCCACAGCACACAAAAACUCACCCUCUUAAAUAAGGGUCCUAAAUGCAAAAUAAAAAAUGUUACAGAUAACAUGUCUCAAUUAAAAACCACAAAUGUCCCAAAUAAUCAUAUAAACAGUCUUGCAUGAACAUAACAAUAAAUGUCAAACAAGUUAAAUAAACAUAACAUGAGUAUUUUUUGAUACUACCAGUCUGUCAUAUCUAAGGAACUAUUCCCUUUCGGCUGCGUAAUUGUUCCUCCUAACAAAUGUCGUUCCUAGUAACCGAAAUCUUAAGCUUUUGGUCAUCGUGAGAAUCUGGUGGGCCUUACACUCUAGACCAACAUCUUUUCUGUAACAUAACAUGAGUAUGAGAUAAACUAGAGUGCCUGAGCUAUCAGAUCCCAAAAACCAUAAACAGUAAGUUAUAUUAGCCAACUGAAUUCAAUGUCAACAAAAAUGUUUAAAAGUAAAAACUACCAAAGACAUCGAAUGAGAACAAAGAUAAGCUAAACAAUUCAAUACGGAGUCAUUUGGGUUUUUCAUCGAACAAUUUGCAUUCAGAUAUUUAAAAGAAACACCUUAGAUUACGAUAUGGUUAGAAUUAAGCAGAUCUCAGUAACCUGUAUGUUUGUUGAUCUCUCUCUCUCUCUGCGAUCGGUGGUGAAAAUCG
rnacentral:lncRNA from 1 species